rnacentral:tRNA from 1 species
GCCGGAAUAGCUCAGUUGGCAGAGCAGUGGCUUCGUAAGCAAUUGGUCGGUGGCCGUGUGACGGACCCCGUGUGACGGCCCAGUCGACUCCACGUUCCGGCA